GCCCGGCUAGCUCAGUCGGUAGAGCAUGGUACUAUUCAUACCAGGGUCGUGGGUUCGAGCCCCAUAUUGGGCG
rnacentral:tRNA from 1 species